ACGCCACGAAGCUUCGUGUGUUGCUUGGAUUCCACGGGCCGUGGGUUCUCUGCCUCUGUGACAACAAGCUGGGGCUGAGGAGGUCGGGGUGUAGGAGGGAUGACCCCAGUCAGCUCCAGCCCGUGUUCUGCUGAUACCCCAAGAGCCCUGGGCCUCAGAAGGUGAAGCAGGAAGUCCCUGCGUUUUCACCCCUAGCGUCUUCUCAGGGCCGCGGCAUUUAAUCCUGAAGUCAUGGGCGGGUGUAAGCCUGCAGGAAGUUAAGUUCGGGGGAAACCCAGACAGAGACCAAAGACUGGCCUCCUCCAGAGGACGAAGAAUGAGCUGGGCGGAUGCUGAGUGUACAGUGACAUCUGGGUGGCCCAUAAGGAGGAAACUAUGUUUUAAGGAUGGCAGAAUAAGGAGAUGGAAGAAGUCUGGCUCCUGGGGAUUCUGCAAAGCCACCUGGCAGCUACAAACUGUCUCCUCUACAUUUCUUUCCCCUGAAAAACAAACAGCAUCCAUCUUGUCUAAGCCACUGUUAUUUUGGAUUUUCUGCCACACAGCUGAGCCUUUCCUAACCAGUACAGACUGCAUCUCCCACCUAAUAAAAGAUUAACAGGGCUCCCAAUCUCAGCCCAUCCAUUGCCUGUACAAGAAAGCAAUGAUGAUUCAUUUAAAAGCACUCUAUUCAGAAUACUAUCUUCUCCUAUUUCCUACAAAUCAAAUUACCAAGAGACCAAUUGGAUUUUUCAAGUCCCUCAAAAUGUUCUUUUUCGAUGUUCUUGAUAUUAAAUAGUAACAGAAUUUAAAUGGCAUCAACAAAACACACAGACGUGACUGUGGUGACAAGUUACAUAAUUCUGUGAGAGAAAGAACCUCACAAGAACACAAUGGAUGCGACAGAGAUAGGAAACAGAAAGUCGAAUCUGCGGGAUUUGCCUCUGGCUUUUACUGCCUGGCCAUGGGCAUCCACCUACUCAUGUUCAGGGGCACCAUCCCUGAUCUUAGGGAGAGUAAUAUCCAAGCGGCUUGGGGAGAAGGGUGGCUGGUUAAUGAACUGCAUUUCUACCUCAGUAUUCUCAAUUCCUGAACACCCAUUGCAGACCCUGAGCUUCUUGAACUCAUUAGUGGAAGCUGCAUCUCACUCAUGCUUCAUAGUCCUAGUGCCAAGCACAGAAACAGCUCCAUGUCAGCAGGCCUAGCUCUGAGCCCCAGCUCUGUCAACCAUGGAUGCUACUCACCAGGGAACAAAACCUGAGCCCUAAUUAUGUGCCAGGUGCUGUGCAAAACACUCUACCUUCACCUUCUGUAACCUUCACAACAAUCCUCUGAAGCAUCUCCGUUACCAUGGCAAUUUACAGACGAAGCCAAUGAGCCAUGAAGAAGGUCAAGCCAUUGCCCAAAGUCACUCAGCUCCUGAGUUCCAGAAGAAGGCUUUGAACCUAGUGGUCUGAUUUCAGUCACUCAGCUCCUGAGUUCCAGAAGAAGGUUUCAAACCUAGUGCUCUGACUUCAUGCAUUCAACCCCACUGCACUGUAAAAGGAAAAGCAUGACACAGAUGUUGUUAUUGCUGUUGUUACAGACUCGAAAGAAGGAUGGAAACUAACAAUGUAGGGAGGUUGUAGCUGGGCCUGGAUCGGGAUGAGGUUUGACAUUGUAUCUAUCUUAUCUCAUGUAUUCUGCACAGAGACUUAUUCUCAAUGUAAAAAUAGGUAACUGAGGCUCAGGAAGGAAAACAAAUCCCCCAAGACCUCUCAGCCUAGUGGUAGCAUCUGGAUUUCACGUCAGGUUUCUCUGAUUUCAAAGCCCAUGCUCUUUUCAUUCCUCAGAGCUACCUCUCAGCCCACUGCAGAGAGAGUGACCAUCAACUCCUCCUGGAGACUGAAAUUUGAGGUUCUAAGAGGCAACCAUUGCCAUUGAUAAAAAAUUUAGUUGUAUUUAUUGAAAUUAUUUAUAGCUGAAUCCAUAACAUAUGUGUAUAUAAAAUAUAUACGUAUUUGAGGCAAUACAAAGAUAUCAUACACAAGGGUUAGGAAAUAAUUAUUGUAGAUGGGAGAAUAAAAUGUCGCUAAGUAGUGUGGAUAAAAUCUUUUGGGUCUGGCACAGAAGUUGCUAUGGGUCUGGGUAGGCAAGCAGGCUCACAAGACACAAAUAAGUUUUCAUCUACUCCCAUGUUGCCUUAGCCUUAUGGAAGGCCACAGAACCGGAGAUACAGCAGGUGCAGCAUUCCCAGCUCAUGAGAAACCCAGCAGCUACCCAAGGAUGCAGCUGCUUCUACCUUCUCACCCACAUGGGACAUGAACUGCUGGUGUGGAUGAGAGACAAGGGGUGGGGGUCACCUGACACAGAGUAGCACAGAGCACCCCAAUUUCCCACCAAUCUUUCACACCAUGCUGAUCAGCAGGCCCCAGACCCACAUGCCAACUCAUAGCUCACUCAGUCCAGAUGAAGUUUCCCAGGUCUGAGAUUUCACAGACACAACAUCCCUCAUUUGUUUUAACUACCACUUGCACAGGAAAAAAAAAAAAAAAAAGUCUACCUCUCAAGUCACUCAGACCUGAUGUCAACACUUUAGGCUUGGGUAUCAAGCAAAGAGCCAAGAGCAUUAAAGAAGCCAGGUUGGGUCAGAUGUAGUGGCUCAUGUCUGUAAUCCCAGCACUUUGGGAGGCCAAGGUGGGAGAAUCACUUGGGCCCAGGAAUUUGAGAUCAGCCUGGGCAACACACAGAGGCACUGUCUCUACAACAACAAAAAAAAUAGCUGGAUAUUAUGGCACUUGCCUGUAGUCCCAGCUACAUAGGAGGCUUAGUGGGGAGGAUCAGCCUUGGAGACUGAGGCUGCAGUUAUUGAUGACUGCACCACUACACUCCAGCCUGGGCAACACAGUGAGACUCUAACUCAAAAAAAAAAAAAAAAAGCAGCAUCAGCCAUGUUGCAUAAUGGAUGCUCUACAUACACUAUGUGUUAUGGUUUGAAUGUUUGUCUCCUCCAAAACUCAUGUUGAAAUUUAACUGCCAGUAUAAAAGUACUGGGAAGUGGGCUCUUUAAGAAGUGAUUAGGCCAUGAGGGUUCCACCCUCAGGGUGGGUUUAAUGCCUUAAUUAAAAGGCUUUUUAGAGUGGCUCUCUCUUUGCUCUCCUCUGCGAUAAGACAAGGCAGCCAGAAAACCCUUGCCAGAUGCCAGCACCUUGAUGUUGAACUUCCCAGCCUCUAAAACUGUGAGAAAACAGAUUUAUAUUUAAUAUAAAUUACCCAGUCUCAGGUAGUCUGUUCUAGCAGCACAAACGGACUAGGACAAUCAGUAAGAACUGGGCCAAAAGUAACAAAAAAACCUAACCAAUGUUUCUUAUACACUGGGGGCUUAUUUUCUUAUACACUCGGGAAUGCAGUCCCGAGCUGGUGUAGCUUCCGAGCAGGUAAAUCCCAAUGGUGUGGACUUCCAUCCAUGCUUGUUGCCUUGCAGUUGCCAUAGAGAGGCUACAUCCCCUAGUCUCACAUCCACAUGACAGGCAGAAAGAAGAAGUCAGAGGAAAGGAAAAGGGGGCAGAACCUGUAACAGGAAAACAAAAGGUUUCCCCCAAAUUCCCAGCAGAUGUCCUCUCCCAUCUCAUCAGUCUGAGUUGUAUUACAAGGCCACCAACAGCUGCGAAGAAGUCUGAAACAGCGAUCAUGCUUAGCUAGGCCCAGAUCUUCCUCCAACAAAAUGGGAUUCUGUUCAUUAAGAAGAAAGGGAGAUUGUACAUUGGCAAGUUGGAUUGGUAAUUUGCAAUUUGUCACAUAUAACCACCUUGAAAAACUGUUUUCACAUCCACCAGGCCCCACACAAUUUGGGGUAGCCCACUCCAUGUGCACAGGCUUCUCAGUGAACCAAGCUUUCUCCUUCCCCCAGCCCCAGCCUCUCCCUCCUGCAACAGGAUACAGGAGACUAAACAAACACAGGUGCCUAUCCUCAGCAUACCCACUUGCCUUCCACUAGCCACCAGCCCUUUAGGAAAACCACCAAGGAAUUUAUUUUCCAGGCCUCAUUUUGGAGCUUUGAAAAGGGCUUGAUUUUUACAACUGGAAUUUAAAAAGACUGCCCACGGGCACAGCGUUUUUCCAACAGAGUAGGAGCCAGGCACCAUUCCCUCAGCAGGCCCUGUGUUUGCUUGGUUUUCUUAUUUUGACAACUAGAUGCUAGCACCUAAGUCAUGCUGUAAAAAUCUGUGGCUACCAUGGCCUAGAUAUUUCUUAAGGUAUCUUGGAGCUAUACACAGAGUCUACACUGGUUAAAACUGUCUUCUUUCAUAUGUAGUGAGCUCCUUCACAUGGGAGACAGCCAGGAAGAGGUUGGCCGGUCACUUCUUAAAGACAAUAGAGUGCAGUGUAUCAGAGAAAUGCUGGACAUUCCUUUGGGCUCCAAGAGUCAAUGACUUGGAUCUUUGGGGUUUGCUUUCAUUUCCCUCUCUUAAAACAGCAUCAAGCAAAAGUCAUGGGGCUCCCAACAAAGGGAAAAUAAGUCACAGGAUUUGGAGACUGGGUUAAGGGAAGUUUGGUGGCAAACUCAUCUUGAAGUUGGCUGGGACGAAAUUUGAGAUUGUUCUCAUGGGCAGCAAUGUGGAAGUUAAAAAAAAAAAAAAAACAAAUUUCCUGAGAAGUGUCAACAACUUCACAGGAGAUGAGAUAGGUGGGUAUUGGGGAUCACCUCUCAAGGGCUCCCUAAACCACCUCAGAUUUCAGAAAUUAUAAAGUGAAGGGACAGGAAAAUAUGAUAACUAUUGUUAAUUUUAAAUCUGACAAAAUAAAGCUAACAUGUCUUCCAGUGGGGAAAUCUGGAAAUGAGAAGAGAAAAUGUUACUGAAGGAAAAAAAGGAAACAACCUUAGUGUAAAAUUUUUAAAAUGUUAACCCUAAGGUUUUAGAACCUAAAAGUUCUAUUAAGAAGGCACAAAAGUUCCUAAUGUGCUCUAAAUCACAUCAAAAUUGCUUCUAUACAGGUGGGUUUUAAGAUAACAAGAGGAAAUAUUAACAGAUAAAUAAAAUUUUCCUUUUUGCUACUGGGGUAAUGUUUAGAAAAUUACCCAUCUGAAGCAGACUGAUACUAAAAAUGACCUCAAUUCUUCACCACUCCACACACCCACAUUCUUUAUCAUGUGACUUUGCAGCUCCUCCUAUCAAGAGAUAGAGUCUAUUUCCCCACCCUGAGAUCUGGGUGAGGAUCACUGGCAAAUACAAUGUGGCAAAAGUGAACAUGUGUGAAAUCCAAGUCUGACCUCAGAGAUCUUGCUCAUUUCUGCUCUCUUUUGGAAUGCUACCUCCACUCUGUUAACAAGGCUAGGCUAGCCUGGGAGCUAGUGAGAGAGCUCAGAGACAAGAGCUCAUUUACCUCAGCCAAGGCCAUCCUAGAUCAACCUACAGCCAGCCAACCUUUAAACAUGUGAGAAAAGCCAGCCAACAUCAUCCAAGCUCCCUGCCUGAUCCACAGCUGGCCUCAGAUGCAUGAAGGAGAUCAUCCAGGAGCUAAAAACCCAGAGACUUGCAUGCAAUAAGAAAUGCUUUUUGCACUUUGGGAGGCCGAGGCGGGUGGAUCAUGAGGUCAAGAGAUCGAAACCAUCCUGGUCAACAUGGUGAAACCCUGUCUCUACUAAAAAUACAAAAAAUUAGCUGGGCAUGGUGGCACAUGCCUGUAAUCUCAGCUACUCAGGAGGCUGAGGCAGGAGAAUUGCCUGAACCCAGGAGGCAGAGGUGUGGUGAGCCGAGAUCGCACCAUUGCACUCCAGCCUGGGUAAUGAGCGAAACUCCAUCUCAAAAAAAAAAAAAAAGAAAUGCUUUUUGUUUUAAGCCAGGGUAAGCAAACUUUUGAUAUCAAGGACCAAAUAGUAAAUAUUUUAGACUUACUAAAUAUUUGAUAUGGUCUCUGUUGUAUGUCUUAUUUUGUUUUUUUAUGAUUUAAACAUGUAAAACCAUUCUCAGCCUGUGGGUGGUACAAAAGCAUGCUGCAGGUCAUAGUUCACCACUCUCUGAUUAAGCCACUGAGCUCUGAGGCAGUUUGUUACAUAGCAGAAGCUAACUAAUACACCACAUGGUUUGUAUUCGCCCUUAUAUCUUGUUCUCAUGCAAACAGAAAACUACGCCAUGAGAGUCAUUUCCUCCAGGAGAAAAGGUUGACUGCUGCCAGAAAUCAAGAGGUCAUUGAUCAAUGUUGUCUCUCAAAGCUGAUUUUCCUGGUUCCUUUUAUAAAAUAAUAACCUGAAAGCCAGUCUUUGGGAUGAAAAAAAGAUUUCUAAAUUUCAGAAACUAAUGGCCAAGAUCCAGGGACUCCAGAGGAAGAUACUUGUAUAUAUUCACAAAAUGUUAAAUGGGACCAGUCUCUUUUCAGUGGAAAUAAUUUCCAGAGCAGACUGGGCUGUCAUCCUACAGUAGAGACCAGCCAGGAUCCAGUGAGUCAGCCCCUUCCUCUACAACCAUGAGGUCAUAGAAGCCCAGCCCCCUAAACAUCUAGCUCUCAUUUUGUGGAGAUAUAAAGAAAUGGGGGAGGAAAUAAGAAAGACUGGGCAUGGAUCUGAGUCAUGCCUGUAGAGAAUGAAUAGACUAUCUAAAUUACUGGAUUGGACUGAGUUUACCGGACUGGACUAAAUUUAGUUUUUCCUUGCUACUCCAUGGGUUUGGAGACUUAGAGGAUGAUAGAUCACCUGUAGGAAACAAUAGAGCUGUUACAGCUUCAAUGCUGUCCCCCGAGAAGAUGCACCACCCACCUUAUUUGGAAAUAAGGUAUUUGCAGAUGCUAAGAUGAGUUAUUAGGGUCAUGAUGGCUGUGUUACAAAAAGAGAAGAUGAAAAUGACACCCAGGAGAAGAAUGCCAUGUGUCAACAGAGGCAGAGAUUAGAGAAAUGUGGUCAUAAACCAAGAAAGGCCAAGACUGUGGGCAACCCCAGAAGCUAAGAGGAAAGUGUGAAACAGACUCUUUCCCAGUGACUUCAGGAGAGCAUGGUCCCACUGUCACCUUGAUUUCUGACUUCUGGCCUCCAUAACUGCAAGACAAUGAAUGUCUGUUCUAGGCCACCCAGUUUGCCAGCAUUUGUUACAGCAGCACUAGGAAACCAACACAAAGUCCAUUUCUUCAAAAGAGAUUAUUUACAUCUUCUCAGCCGGGCAUGGGGGCUCACACCUGUAAUCCCAGCACUUUGGGAGGUGGAGGCAGGUGGAUCGCCUGAGGUCAGGAGUUUGAGACCAGCCUGGCCAGCAUGGUGAAACCCCGUCUAGAGAUACAAAAAUUAGCCAGGUGUGGUGGCAGGCACCUGUAAUCCCAGCUACUUGGGAGGCUGAAACAGGAGAAUCACUUGAUCCCGGGAGGUGGAGUUUGCAGUGAGCCGAGAUCGUGCCAUCGCACUCCAGCCUGGGCAACAGAGCAAGACUCCAUCUCAAAAAAAAUUUUUUUAAGAGAUUAUUUACAUCUUCUAAUUAAUAAAAAUGAUUCUUUCAACACUGCUUUUCUGAAGUUCCACUUCUGAAAUUUAAAGUGUUCCUUGAGGGUCCCAGAAUGCUGGCUGGCAAAGAUGGAGCCACUACUCUCCCCAGAAAGAGGUUCACACUCACACUCAGAGACUGUAGGGAGGGCAUAUUCCAGUGGCUCUGAAGACCUCUGGUUGAUUUUGGAUUUGGUUUAGAAGGGAACAGAUGAUAAAAGGAACAUUUUCAGAAAUGGCCUGCCUUUUCAAGGUCCUAACUUUAAUGUACACUGAGGUCAUCUGGAACAAGUGUUGGGAAUAGAGACUUCUGAACCUCAUCCUCAGAGAUUCUUGUUCACUUUGUCCAGAGAAGGAAAUUCAAGAAUCUGUAUCUUUAGCAAGCAUCAUUUAGUGAUUCUGGUAAAGCCAUUUAAAAAACCCUACCCCAGAAGAAGCCAUGGAGGGAUCCCAAAAUUCAAAGUAGCAGAGAGCUCCCAUUCAUUCCCUGCCCACUUGGGAAGCUGUCCCAGAGUGGGGACUGGCUAAGAAGGAAAAGCUUGGACCUAUGGUGCUCCUCACCUGCUUCCUUCCUUGGGAGGAAGAUGGGGGCUGCUGGGGCAGCCCUUCCUGGUGCUCUCUCCCUUCACAAAUGGGUACCCGGGUCGGUACUGGGACAGUGGCACUCCCUAGUGGCCACGUUUCGUUUUUCAGGUACUUAGCAACCGGCACCAGGCCAGCAGCUGAAUGGAUGGUGCUUCAUCAAUAACAGGGCAAUGGAGCAACUUAUUGUGAUCUUGACUCAUAUGGUGAUAAAUGUGAAAUCGGAACACAGAAGUGGAACAUCACAGGAAAUGGCAACUGCAUUUUAUGGGUCUUAAAUUUCAGACCAGAAGAGAAAAUCACUACUGGGCUCUGAAAAGCUGAAGUCAGGGUCAUAUUUUCUCAAAACCUUUUCAGAAGAAAUCAUGAAAAAAACUGUAGAAGACAGCGUUGAGGUGGGGUGGGGGGAGGUCAGGGGAGUCAAGCCAUUUGGAAAAGCUCUUUAGAAAGAAAAUCUCUGUGUAGC